rnacentral:rRNA from 1 species
UGGUUAAAAAGCUCGUAGUUGGAUCUCGGCGGACUGAGGGCGGUUUGCUUGCUAGUAUUACUGCCCUAUAGUCCGUAGUUUUGCCAGAGGUUUCGGGGUGCUCUUAAUCGAGUGUCCCGGGAUGCUGGCAGGUUUACUUUGAAAAAAUUAGAGUGCUCAAAGCAGGCUAUUACGCCUGAAUAUUCGUGCAUGGAAUAAUAGAAUAGGAAGUCGUUUCUAUUUUGUUGGUUUUCGGAAAUCGACUUAAUGAUUAAUAGGGACAGUCGGGGGCAUUUGUAUUCAAACGACAGAGGUGAAAUUCUUGGACCGUUUGAAGACAAACUACUGCGAAAGCAUUUGCCAAGAAUGUUUUCAUUAAUCAAGAACGAAAGUUAAAGGUUCGAAGGCGAUUAGAUACCGCCCUAGUUUUAACCAUAAACGAUGCCAGCUAGCGAUCUGCGGACGUUUUUUUUGUAGACUCCGCAGGAAGCUUCCGGGGAACCAAAGCAUUUGGGUUCCAGGGGAAGUAUGGUUGCAAAGCUGAAACUUAAAGGAAUUGACGGAAGGGCACCACCAGGAGUGGAGCCUGUGGCUAAAUUUGACUCAACACGGGGAAAUCUC